GACGAACGCUGGCGGCGUGCCUAAUACAUGCAAGUAGAACGCACAGUUUAUACCGUAGCUUGCUACACCAUAAACUGUGAGUUGCGAACGGGUGAGUAACGCGUAGGUAACCUGCCUGGUAGCGGGGGAUAACUAUUGGAAACGAUAGCUAAUACCGCAUAAUAUUAAUUAUUGCAUGAUAAUUGAUUGAAAGAUGCAAUUGCAUCACUACCAGAUGGACCUGCGUUGUAUUAGCCAGUAGGUGAGGUAACGGCUCACCUAGGCGACGAUACAUAGCCGACCUGAGAGGGUGAUCGGCCACACUGGGACUGAGACACGGCCCAGACUCCUACGGGAGGCAGCAGUAGGGAAUCUUCGGCAAUGGACGAAAGUCUGACCGAGCAACGCCGCGUGAGUGAAGAAGGUUUUCGGAUCGUAAAGCUCUGUUGUAAGAGAAGAACGGGUGUGAGAGUGGAAAGUUCACACUGUGACGGUAUCUUACCAGAAAGGGACGGCUAACUACGUG
rnacentral:rRNA from 1 species